rnacentral:RNase_P_RNA from 1 species
UGGGCUGGCCGGGCGACCGCGUGGAGGCAACUCCCCGAGGAAGGUCCGGGCUCCACAGGGCAAGGUGGUGGGUAACACCCACCCGGGGCAACCCGCGGGACAGUGCCACAGAGAACAGACCGCCCCUGGCAACAGGGGUAAGGGUGAAACGGUGGUGUAAGAGACCACCAGCGACCGGGGUGACCCGGCCGGCUCGGUAAACCCCACCUGGAGCAAGGUCAAGAAGUCCGGUGCUUGCACCGGACGCGCGCAUGACUGAGGGCGGCCCGCCCGAGUGCGCGGGUAGACCGCUGGAGGCGGCCGGCAACGGCCGCCGUAGAUGGAUGGUCGCCACGCUUCGGCGUACAGAACCCGGCCUACAGGCCAGCCCAUCCG